rnacentral:rRNA from 1 species
AGUGAACGCUGGCGGUAGGCCUAACACAUGCAAGUCGAACGGCAGCACAGUAAGAGCUUGCUCUUACGGGUGGCGAGUGGCGGACGGGUGAGGAAUACAUCGGAAUCUACUUUUUCGUGGGGGAUAACGUAGGGAAACUUACGCUAAUACCGCAUACGACCUACGGGUGAAAGCAGGGGAUCUUCGGACCUUGCGCGAUUGAAUGAGCCGAUGUCGGAUUAGCUAGUUGGCGGGGUAACGGCCCACCAAGGCGACGAUCCGUAGCUGGUCUGAGAGGAUGAUCAGCCACACUGGAACUGAGACACGGUCCAGACUCCUACGGGAGGCAGCAGUGGGGAAUAUUGGACAAGGGGCGCAAGCCUGAUCCAGCCAUACCGCGUGGGUGAAGAAGGCCUUCGGGUUGUAAAGCCCUUUUGUUGGGAAAGAAAAGCAGCAGGUUAAUACCCCGCUGUUCUGACGGUACCCAAAGAAUAAGCACCGGCUAACUUCGUG